UACAGAGGUCUCAAGCGUUGUUCGGAUUCAUUGGGCGUAAAGGGUGCGUAGGUGGCGCCGUAAGUCAGGUGUGAAUCUCGGGGCUUAACUCCGAAACUGCAUUUGAUACUGCGGUGCUUGAGGACUGGAGAGGAGACUGGGAAUUUACGGUGUAGCGGUGAAAUGCGUAGAUAUCGGGAAGGAACACCGGUGGCGAAGGCGGUUCUGCUGGGCCGGAUACUGACGCUGAGGAGCGAAAGCGUGGGGAGCGAACAGG
rnacentral:rRNA from 1 species